UACAGAGGUCUCAAGCGUUGUUCGGAUUCAUUGGGCAUAAAGGGUGCGUAGGUGGCGCUGUAAGUCGGGUGUGAAAUUUCGGAGCUUAACUCCGAAACUGCAUUCGAUACUGCGGUGCUUGAGGACUGGAGAGGAGACUGGAAUUCAUGGUGUAGCAGUGAAAUGCGUAGAGAUCAUGAGGAAGACCAGUGGCGAAGGCGGGUCUCUGGACAGUUCCUGACACUGAGGCGCGAAGGCCAGGGGAGCAAACGGG
rnacentral:rRNA from 1 species